UGGGAUAUCGCCAAGCGGUAAGGCACCGGUUUUUGAUACCGGCAUUCCAUGGUUCGAAUCCAGGUAUCCCAG
rnacentral:tRNA from 1 species